rnacentral:sRNA from 1 species
ACUCUAUGAAAAAUGUGGACUGUCCAGAGAAGCAAAAAUGUGGUUCUUUCUGGCUAAGCCACAGAAGAAGUUUCUUUGGACAGCCCUGAAAGGGAACCUAUCCUAUCCUCGGAACCUUCUCCUGCAGUCACACCUGUCACUCCUACUACACUCAUUGCUCCUAGAAUUGAAUCAAAGAGUAUGUCUGCUCCCGUGAUCUUUGAUAGAUCCAGGGAAGAGAUUGAAGAAGAAGCAAAUGGAGAUAUUUUUGACAUAGAAAUUGGUGUAUCAGAUCCAGAAAAAGUUGGUGAUGGCAUGAAUGCCUAUAUGGCAUAUAGAGUAACAACAAAGACUUCUCUUUCCAUGUUCAGUAAGAGUGAAUUUUCAGUGAAAAGAAGAUUCAGCGACUUUCUUGGUUUGCACAGCAAAUUAGCAAGCAAGUAUUUACAUGUUGGUUAUAUUGUGCCACCAGCUCCAGAAAAGAGUAUAGUAGGGAUGACCAAGGUCAAAGUGGGUAAAGAAGACUCAUCAUCCACUGAGUUUGUAGAAAAACGGAGAGCAGCUCUUGAAAGGUAUCUUCAAAGAACAGUAAAACAUCCAACUUUACUACAGGAUCCUGAUUUAAGGCAGUUCUUGGAAAGUUCGGAGCUGCCUAGAGCAGUUAAUACACAGGCUCUGAGUGGAGCAGGAAUAUUGAGGAUGGUGAACAAGGCUGCCGACGCUGUCAACAAAAUGACAAUCAAGAUGAAUGAAUCGGAUGCAUGGUUUGAAGAAAAGCAGCAGCAAUUUGAGAAUCUGGAUCAGCAACUUAGGAAACUUCACGCCAGUGUUGAAGCCUUGGUCUGUCAUAGAAAAGAACUUUCAGCCAACACAGCUGCCUUUGCUAAAAGUGCUGCCAUGUUAGGUAAUUCUGAGGAUCAUACUGCUUUAUCUAGAGCUUUGUCUCAGCUUGCAGAGGUUGAGGAGAAGAUAGACCAGUUACAUCAAGAACAAGCUUUUGCUGACUUUUAUAUGUUUUCAGAACUACUUAGUGACUACAUUCGUCUUAUUGCUGCAGUGAAAGGUGUGUUUGACCAUCGAAUGAAGUGCUGGCAGAAAUGGGAAGAUGCUCAAAUUACUUUGCUCAAAAAACGUGAAGCUGAAGCAAAAAUGAUGGUUGCUAACAAACCAGAUAAAAUACAGCAAGCUAAAAAUGAAAUAAGAGAGUGGGAGGCGAAAGUGCAACAAGGAGAAAGAGAUUUUGAACAGAUAUCUAAAACGAUUCGAAAAGAAGUGGGAAGAUUUGAGAAAGAACGAGUGAAGGAUUUUAAAACCGUUAUCAUCAAGUACUUAGAAUCACUAGUUCAAACACAACAACAGCUGAUAAAAUACUGGGAAGCAUUCCUACCUGAAGCCAAAGCCAUUGCCUAGCAAUAAGAUUAUUGCCGUUAAGA